AGUCGAACGGCAGCGGGGGAAAGCUUGCUUUCCUGCCGGCGAGUGGCGAACGGGUGAGUAAUACAUCGGAACGUGCCCUGUAGUGGGGGAUAACUAGUCGAAAGAUUAGCUAAUACCGCAUACGACCUGAGGGUGAAAGUGGGGGACCGCAAGGCCUCAUGCUAUAGGAGCGGCCGAUGUCUGAUUAGCUAGUUGGUGGGGUAAAGGCCUACCAAGGCGACGAUCAGUAGCUGGUCUGAGAGGACGAUCAGCCACACUGGGACUGAGACACGGCCCAGACUCCUACGGGAGGCAGCAGUGGGGAAUUUUGGACAAUGGGCGAAAGCCUGAUCCAGCAAUGCCGCGUGUGUGAAGAAGGCCUUCGGGUUGUAAAGCACUUUUGUCCGGAAAGAAAUGGCUCUGGUUAAUACCCGGAGUCGAUGACGGUACCGGAAGAAUAAGGACCGGCUAACUACGUGCCAGCAGCCGCGGUAAUACGUAGGGUCCAAGCGUUAAUCGGAAUUACUGGGCGUAAAGCGUGCGCAGGCGGUUGUGCAAGACCGAUGUGAAAUCCCCGGGCUUAACCUGGGAAUUGCAUUGGUGACUGCACGGCUAGAGUGUGUCAGAGGGAGGUAGAAUUCCACGUGUAGCAGUGAAAUGCGUAGAGAUGUGGAGGAAUACCGAUGGCGAAGGCAGCCUCCUGGGAUAACACUGACGCUCAUGCACGAAAGCGUGGGGAGCAAACAGGAUUAGAUACCCUGGUAGUCCACGCCCUAAACGAUGUCAACUAGUUGUUGGGGAUUCAUUUCCUUAGUAACGUAGCUAACGCGUGAAGUUGACCGCCUGGGGAGUACGGUCGCAAGAUUAAAACUCAAAGGAAUUGACGGGGACCCGCACAAGCGGUGGAUGAUGUGGAUUAAUUCGAUGCAACGCGAAAAACCUUACCUACCCUUGACAUGCCACUAACGAAGCAGAGAUGCAUUAGGUGCUCGAAAGAGAAAGUGGACACAGGUGCUGCAUGGCUGUCGUCAGCUCGUGUCGUGAGAUGUUGGGUUAAGUCCCGCAACGAGCGCAACCCUUGUCUCUAGUUGCUACGAAAGGGCACUCUAGAGAGACUGCCGGUGACAAACCGGAGGAAGGUGGGGAUGACGUCAAGUCCUCAUGGCCCUUAUGGGUAGGGCUUCACACGUCAUACAAUGGUGCAUACAGAGGGUUGCCAAGCCGCGAGGUGGAGCUAAUCCCAGAAAAUGCAUCGUAGUCCGGAUCGUAGUCUGCAACUCGACUACGUGAAGCUGGAAUCGCUAGUAAUCGCGGAUCAGCAUGCCGCGGUGAAUACGUUCCC
rnacentral:rRNA from 1 species